GGUCGGGUGGCGUAAUGGUAGCGCGUGGUCCUCCUAUAUCCACUUUGCAUUUAUUUCCGAAAAGGGGAGAUUUAUGGAGAAGUGAGUAGAACAGACUGAGGUUGUGGGUUCGAGUCCCAUCUCGAUCG